rnacentral:rRNA from 1 species
CACGUAGGGGGCAAGCGUUGUCCGGAUUCAUUGGGCGUAAAGAGCUCGUAGGCGGUUCGAUAAGUCGGGUGUGAAACCUCCAGGCUCAACCUGGAGACGCCACCCGAUACUGUCGUGACUAGAGUCCAGUAGGGGAGCGUGGAAUUCCUGGUGUAGCGGUGAAAUGCGCAGAUAUCAGGAGGAACACCAGCGGCGAAGGCGGCGCUCUGGGCCGGAACUGACGCUGAGGAGCGAAAGCGUGGGGAGCAAACAGG